GACGAACGCUGGCGGCGUGCCUAAUACAUGCAAGUCGAGCGGAAGUUGGAGAGCUUGCUCUUCAACUUUAGCGGCGGACGGGUGAGUAACACGUGGGCAACCUGCCCUGCAGAUCGGGAUAACUCCGGGAAACCGGUGCUAAUACCGAAUAGGUUUCGCCACCUCCUGGUGGCGUACGGAAAGACGGUUUCGGCUGUCACUGCAGGAUGGGCCCGCGGCGAAUUAGCUAGUUGGUGGGGUAACGGCCCACCAAGGCGACGAUGCGUAGCCGACCUGAGAGGGUGAUCGGCCACACUGGGACUGAGACACGGCCCAGACUCCUACGGGAGGCAGCAGUAGGGAAUCUUCCGCAAUGGACGAAAGUCUGACGGAGCAACGCCGCGUGAGUGACGAAGGUUUUCGGAUCGUAAAACUCUGUUGUGAGGGAAGAACAAGUACCACUUAACUACUGGUACCUUGACGGUACCUCACCAGAAAGCCACGGCUAACUACGUGCCAGCCGCCGCGGUAA
rnacentral:rRNA from 1 species